rnacentral:rRNA from 1 species
UACAGAGGGGGCAAGCGUUGUUCGGAAUUACUGGGCGUAAAGGGCGCGUAGGCGGCCUUCUAAGUCGAACGUGAAAUCCCCGGGCUCAACCCGGGAACUGCGUCCGAUACUGGAAGGCUUGAAUCCGGGAGAGGGAUGUGGAAUUCCAGGUGUAGCGGCGAAAUGCGUAGAUAUCUGGAGGAACACCGGUGGCGAAGGCGACAUCCUGGACCGGUAUUGACGCUGAGGCGCGAAAGCCAGGGGAGCAAACGGG